rnacentral:rRNA from 1 species
UCCGUUGGUGAACCAGCGGAAGGAUCAUUACAGAGAUCAUGCCCUCACGGGUAGACCUCCCACCCUGUCUAUUUUACCAUUGUUGCUUCGGCAGGCCGCCACUCGUGGCCCGCGGCUUCGGCUGUGGAGCGCCUGCCAGAAGACCCCAACUCAAGUGUUUUUAGUGUCGUCUGAGUCUAAAACAAAUAAGUUAAAACUUUCAACAACGGAUCUCUUGGUUCUGGCAUCGAUGAAGAACGCAGCGAAAUGCGAUAAGUAAUGUGAAUUGCAGAAUUCAGUGAAUCAUCGAAUCUUUGAACGCACAUUGCGCCCCUUGGUAUUCCGGGGGGCAUGCCUGUUCGAGCGUCAUUUCAACCCUCAAGCCUAGCUUGGUCUUGGGCCCUGUCGGCAACGGCUGGCCUUAAACUCAGUGGCGGUGCCACCGAGCUCUACGCGUAGUAACUUACCUCUCGCGUCUGGGUCUCGGUGGACGCUGGCCAGCAACCCCCCAUUUUCUAUGGUUGACCUCGAAUCAGGUAGGGAU